AAAUUGAAGAGUUUGAUCAUGGCUCAGAUUGAACGCUGGCGGCAGGCCUAACACAUGCAAGUCGAACGGUAACAGGAAACAGCUUGCUGUUUCGCUGACGAGUGGCGGACGGGUGAGUAAUGUCUGGGAAACUGCCUGAUGGAGGGGGAUAACUACUGGAAACGGUAGCUAAUACCGCAUAAUGUCGCAAGACUAAAGAGGGGGACCUUCGGGCCUCUUGCCAUCGGAUGUGCCC
rnacentral:rRNA from 1 species